rnacentral:tRNA from 2 species
ACCCAGCUAGCUCAGUGGGUAGAGCAUGAGACUCAAUCUCAGGGUUGUGGGUUCGAGCCCCACAUUGGGCG